GACGAACGCUGGCGGCGUGCUUAACACAUGCAAGUCGAACGGAAAGGCCUGCUUUCCCUUUUGGAUUGCGGGUACUCGAGUGGCGAACUGGUGAGUAACACGUGAGUGAUCUGCCCCCAACUUGGGUAUAAGCCUGGGAAACUGGGUCUAAUUCCCGAUAGGACUGCAGGGUGGUGCCUGGGGUGGAAAACGAGUUUCUAGUGGUUGGUGAUGAGCUCGCGGCCUAUCAGCUUGUUGGUGGGGUCAUGGCCUACCAAGGCGGCGACGGGUAGCCGGCCUGAGAGGGUGGACGGCCACAUUGGGACUGAGAUACGGCCCAGACUCCUACGGGAGGCAGCAGUGGGGAAUAUUGCACAAUGGGCGGAAGCCUGAUGCAGCGACGCCGCGUGGGGGAUGACGGCCUUCGGGUUGUAAACUCCUUUCGACCGCGAGGAAGCCACCUGGUUGGAAGGGUGGUGACGGUAGUGGUAGAAGAAGCACCGGCUAACUACGUG
rnacentral:rRNA from 1 species